AUUGCCCUAGUAACGGCGAGUGAAGCGGCAACAGCUCAAAUUUGAAAUCUGGCCCCCCUGGGGCCCGAGUUGUAAUUUGCAGAGGAUGCUUCUGGCGCGGUGCCUUCCGAGUUCCCUGGAACGGGACGCCACAGAGGGUGAGAGCCCCGUAUGGUGGGACACCAAGCCUGUGUGAAGCUCCUUCGACGAGUCGAGUAGUUUGGGAAUGCUGCUCAAAAUGGGAGGUAAAUCUCUUCUAAAGCUAAAUACCGGCCAGAGACCGAUAGCGCACAAGUAGAGUGAUCGAAAGAUGAAAAGCACCUUGAAAAGGGGGUUAAACAGUACGUGAAAUUGUUGAAAGGGAAGCGCUUGUGACCAGACUUGCGCCGGGCGGCUCAUCAGGGGUUCUCCCCUGUGUAUUCCGCCCGGUUCAGGCCAGCAUCGGUUCUCGCCGGGGGAUAAGAACGGCAGGAACGUGGCUCCCCCUCGGGGGAGUGUUAUAGCCUGCCGUACGAUACCCUGGCGGGGACCGAGGUUCGCGCUCCGCAAGGAUGCUGGCGUAAUGGUCACCAGCGACCCGUCUUGAAACACGGACCAAGGAGUCGUCCAUUAGAGCGAGCGUUUGGGUGUCAAACCCGCACGCGUAAUGAAAGUGAAAUUAGGUGAGAGCUUCGGCGCAUCAUCGACCGAUCCUGAUGUUCUCGGAUGGAUUUGAGUAAGAGUUUUAACGGACGGACCCGAAAAACAGUGAACUAUGCUUGUAUAGGGUGAAGCCAGAGGAAACUCUGGUGGAGGCUCGCAGCGGUUCUGACGUGCAAAUCGAUCGUCAAAUAUGAGCAUGGGGGCGAAAGACUAAUCGAACUGUUUAGUAGCUGGUUACCGCCGAAGUUCCCC
rnacentral:rRNA from 1 species